rnacentral:rRNA from 1 species
GACGAACGCUGGCGGCGUGCUUAACACAUGCAAGUCGAACGGAAAGGCCCUGCUUGCCGGGUACUCGAGUGGCGAACGGGUGAGUAACACGUGGGUGAUCUGCCCUGCACUUCGGGAUAAGCCUGGGAAACUGGGUCUAAUACCGGAUAGGAGCCAUUUUUAGUGUGAUGGUUGGAAAGUUUUUUCGGUGUAGGAUGAGCUCGCGGCCUAUCAGCUUGUUGGUGGGGUAAUGGCCUGCCAAGGCGGCGACGGGUAGCCGGCCUGAGAGGGUGGACGGCCACAUUGGGACUGAGAGACGGCCCAGACUCCGACGGGAGGCAGCAGUGGGGAAUAUUGCACAAUGGGCGCAAGCCUGAUGCAGCGACGCCGCGUGGGGGAUGACGGCCUUCGGGUUGUAAACUCCUUUCGCUAGGGACGAAGCUUUUUGUGACGGUACCUAGAUAAGAAGCACCGGCUAACUACGUG